rnacentral:hammerhead_ribozyme from 1 species
GCACUGCUGAGGAGUCCCACAAUAGGACGAAACAGUCGUCCAGUGA